rnacentral:rRNA from 1 species
GUGUACGGCCAUACCACCCUGAACGCGCCCGAUCUCAUCUGAUCACGGAAGCUAAACAGGGUCAGGCCUGGUUAGUAUUUGGAUGGGAGAAAGAAAGAUAAACCAUCCAUU